UGAGCUCACAGAGCUCUACCUCCCUCUGCCUCUCAAGUGCUAGGAUCAAAGGUUUGUGCCACCACCGCCACCACUCAGCAAAAAUGACUUUUUUUUUCUUUAAGGUUUUCUGAAGAUAAUGUGGGCAUUGGUGUCCACGCUUGUAAAAUGAGGAUGGUUCUAUCUACCGUCCCAUGGGGAUCACAUGGCGUAGACCUGCUGCGCUUUUUGUGGAACCUAGAUAUAUAUAGUCCCAAGUUCCCUAGUGAGAAAGAGCUAAGCAAUUCUUUGUGUGUGUGUGUGUUGUGUAGGCAGUGCGUUUGGUUGUCUCUGUAUAACAUGAUGGGCCAUGUCUGUUUUGGAGUGGUGGUGGAUGAAGGCUAUGUUGAGAAGGAAAGACCUAGGAGCUGUGACUUGCAGCCCAAGGCAAAGAAGACAAUUCUGAGGUUGGGACAUAGCCAGGCUGCCUUCAAAAGUGAUGACCCAAUCCCAGGGUUUUGCAAAGCUGAACAUCCAUAGAUGAUUUCAGUGCAGAGUAGCUGACCUGAUUGUGUUCCAUGGAAACCAUCCGUUUGGAGACCCUAGCUGGGGAAGGUCAUGGUGAAAAUCUUCAAGCCUCCAUGAGUUGCAGAAACAAGAGAGGCAUGUGUGCAUCUAUCUGGAUGCUCAGAAAUACAGGUUUUCAACUAGUGGAGCUUCAGUAAAUAUUGAUGAAUUGGACAUCCUAGAGAGGUGCCCUGGGGCAGCUCAACAUGGUGAGCCCCCUGACAUGGACGACUCCAUGGGAUCAGCAUCCAGAGUGAACAAGUUCUCAACAGCCACAGAGAAGCAUCACAUGAACUGUGGUGCAAGCAUUAAGAUGGCCUGAGUCAAGGAGCAGCUUUACUCUGAGAAGGCCUCCCCCUGACCCAAGCUGGACAGUAGAGCAUCAUUUAUUCAAUCAAUCAAUCAAUCAAUCAACCAAUCAAUCAACCAACCAAUCACUCUACGUUGCAAUUGGUGUUUUGUUUUUUUCUUUUUUUGAGAUAGGGUCUCACUAUGUAGCCUUGGCUGGUCUGGAACUUGGUAUGUAGACCAGGCUGGCCUCAUCCAGAUCUCCAUGUCUUUCUUCCUGCCUCCUGAGUGCUGGGAUUAAAAGUGUGCACUGCCAUUGUUUGACUAGAAACCUGGCCCCAAAGACUCCAAUAAACAUGUUGCUGGUACUGUAUGGCCAGUGCCAAACCCAGUGACCCUCAGUCCGCAUCCGCAGCAUUAGAACUGAGUUCUCUGUGUGAUACUGUCUUGGUGACUGUGAGGAAAUUUGGAGAGAAUCAGCCAAUUGGAGAAGAUACUGGUCAUAGCUGUCACAUCCCAAUAGACAUUUUCUCAGUUACACGUUCAUCUCAAAGGACUGAAGGAAGCAGCAGAGAGAUGGUCCAGUUCUCAGAUGGCCUUCAGCUUUGGCCCCCUUGGGCCAUCGAGGAGAAGUCUGCCUGACCCAGCGAGAAGUCUGCUUGACACUCUUGACGGUCUUGAAAGGUGUGGUAAAAAAAAGCCCUUGGAGCAUCUCCCUGUCAGCCAGGCCAGAGCAACAGGUACUGUGGGCUUUAGCAAGAGGACCAUGGAGAACCAGGCUGCCCUUCAACACUCUUAAGAUGUCUUCUGAUAAACAACCAACUCAUUGGCAUUCAAGUCCUUCUUUCCACAGGAUGCUAAGAAUCAGGUCUGCACCAGGCCAUCACACUGAUGUCAUAAUGGCAGCUUCUUAUCCUUUGUUAACAGCUUUUUGCUCAUUUCCUCCUGAGAGAUCGUCAGAAUGGGCUUCGGCAUCCAUUCGACCAGCAUGCUGGACAGGACCUUGAUCUCAAGGGAGAGCAAAGCCUUCCCCAUGGCACUCCUCACCUAAUGGCCGAGUGAGUCCUCUCCAGAAUCCCCUUCAGCCAGCGCCUUCAUGGCAAUGCUCUGGCCAUCUUGCAAACCCCUCAAAGUCUUCCCACCUCUCUCACUGCACCCUAAAGCCAGGGCUGCAUUUUUAUAUAUUUGUUUUACAGGAUUUCCCCCCCCCCCCACUCCCGUUUUCCAACUAGUUUGUUUUAUUCUGAUGUCAGAAGAAAUAAAAGAGUUGUUUAAACAACAA
rnacentral:lncRNA from 1 species